rnacentral:rRNA from 1 species
AAAUUGAAGAGUUUGAUCAUGGCUCAGAUUGAACGCUGGCGGCAGGCCUAACACAUGCAAGUCGAGCGGAAACGACAUUAUUGAAUCUUCGGAGGAUUUAAUGGGCGUCGAGCGGCGGACGGGUGAGUAAUGCCUAGGAAAUUGCCUUGAUGUGGGGGAUAACCAUUGGAAACGAUGGCUAAUACCGCAUAAUGCCUACGGGCCAAAGAGGGGGAUCUUCGGAC